GGCCUAUGAUGUACACAAUUGCACGUAUUAUCAGACGUGGUUAUGAUGAAAUCUCAAAUUGUCACUACCUCUGAGGCC